GUUGCCUCGGCGCANANGCUACCCGNGNGACCUCGUGCCCCGGGCGGCCCGCCGGCGGACAAACCAAANCUCUNGUUAUCUUAGUUGAUUAUCUGAGUGUCUUAUUUAAUAAGUCAAAACUUUCAACAACGGAUCUCUUGGUUCUGGCAUCGAUGAAGAACGCAGCGAAAUGCGAUAAGUAAUGUGAAUUGCAGAAUUCAGUGAAUCAUCGAAUCUUUGAACGCACAUUGCGCCCAUUAGUAUUCUAGUGGGCAUGCCUGUUCGAGCGUCAUUUCAACCCCUAAGCACAGCUUACUGUUGGGAAUCUACGGCCUNNGUAGUUCCUCAAAGACAUUGGCGGAGUGGCAGUAGUCCUCUGAGCGUAGUAAUUCUUUAUCUCGCUUUUGUUAGGUGCUGCCCCCCCGGCCGUNAAAACCCCCAAUUUUUUCUGGU
rnacentral:rRNA from 1 species